UUAAACCAAUCUUCUCCUCCUCAUCCCUCACUUGUGGUUAGCCAAUUUGGACCUUGUCUUAGCUUCGUUGUAGAGAACCACUCCCAUGACCGUGACGGCGAAGCUGGUGACUCCCAUCGCCGUCACCGGAUUCCGGAAAAUCAUCACUGACACUCCGGCCGCCACCGCCGCCUUUCCGUUGCCGAGCACCUGCAAUGUCAGAGCGCUCGUGUGCUUCGUCACUAAGAAAUUCACCAGAUACGCAGCUGCGGCGUUUCUGAGUGAAGCUUGUCAGAUUCAGAUGUUAGGGAGAUCCCCUGAACCACCGAUUUCAGAGGCCUCCUAGUCGUGGAUCCGAGACAUACGAGGAAUCCGAAGAGGUGGAAUACCAUUUCCUGUUUUGCAUCGAUUAGGAUGCUUUAAGAACGUUCUUACUUGAUCGUUCAAGAAUUCCAGGCUCUCUUAAGUGACUGCAAAGACGUAUUGGAUGAGACAACCACAAUGAAAGAAUUGGUAUACUUUGCUAAUCUCAAGGAGCAGUUUGAAAUUGUUGUUGAUCAUUAUAUUCAGCAAUGGGAAGCAAAGAAAACAUUGGAGGUUCUCCAAAAGUCUCCAGUUCCUGUCGAACUUCAGACCGAGCGUAUACUCGAUUUACAGAAGUAACUGACAUUGCUUGGUAGUGAAACACGGAGGGAUGCAAACAGUAGUCUCCCUGAUGAAACCAUGACUGGUACAACUACUGCAGAGAAGGUAAGGAGAUUCAUUUUCAAGGCAACCAAGUUCUUCAUUUAGUUUCUUCGUUUUAUCCUUUUCUCUUGAGCAUUUUUUUCUUGGAUAAUUUGGCUUGACAUGCCGUCUUUUAUCACGAGGCAACUCCGGUCAAAGCUGGACGACAUGGUAGCCAGUGAAUGUCCAUUCUACGGAGAAUUUAUGAUCAAUGAGAUCAGUCGGCCUUUUAUUAAACCCGAGGAAGCACAACAUGCUGCUUCAUGGGACAUCCAGCCGAAAAAGGACAUAGCGUUUCAGAGGACCAUUCCGUUGCCUGUUUGAUUGUCAGCGUCCAUUGCAGGUUCAUUUGAUAUACUAUCAGCGUGUUUCCUGUUUUGCUCAUGUUGUUUGUAAACUCGUUUUUGUGUGAUUUCUUCUUAGACUGAGGCUGGCAUAGGGGUGUGGAUAUUGAUCUUUGGGUGCUCUGUUAUGGAUGUAAUAUGCGUGCAUGAUUCUCGAUAGAGAACGAUCUCAGAAUUUAUCGAUUCUCUUUGUGUCGGA